UGAAGCAAAAUAGUGCAAUAAAUUUAAGCUUUAUAUAUAAAAGAAAUCUUUCCUUAGAAAUA
rnacentral:tRNA from 1 species